rnacentral:tRNA from 1 species
GGAAACGUGCCCGAAAGACAGGGACCUCCUUGAUAGGGAGGCUUAUAUGGGUUCAAACCCCCUCGUUUCCU